rnacentral:rRNA from 1 species
GACGAACGCUGGCGGCGUGCUUAACACAUGCAAGUCGAACGGAAAGGCCCUGCUUUUGUGGGGUGCUCGAGUGGCGAACGGGUGAGUAACACGUGAGUAACCUGCCCUUGACUUUGGGAUAACUUCAGGAAACUGGGGCUAAUACCGGAUAGGAGCUCCUGCUGCAUGGUGGGGGUUGGAAAGUUUCGGCGGUUGGGGAUGGACUCGCGGCUUAUCAGCUUGUUGGUGGGGUAGUGGCUUACCAAGGCUUUGACGGGUAGCCGGCCUGAGAGGGUGACCGGCGACAAUGGUACUGAGGUACGGCCCAGACUCCUACGUGAGGCAGCGGGGGGGAAUAUUGCACAGUGGGCGGACGCGUGUUGCGGAGGCGCCGGGUGCGUGAUGACGGCCUGCGGGUUGUGAACCGCUUUCGCCUGUGACGAAGCGUGAGUGACGGUAAUGGGUAAAGAAGCACCGGCUAACUACGUG